UGAGGAAUAUUGGUCAAUGGCCGGGAGGCUGAACCAAGCCAAGUCGCGUGAGGGAAGACGGUCCUAUGGAUUGUAAACCUCUUUUGUCAGGGAGCAAAAACUGCCACGCGUGGCAGGAUGAGAGUACCUGAAGAAAAAGCAUCGGCUAACUCCGUGCC
rnacentral:rRNA from 1 species